CCUGGGGACUCCCUGGAUCCUCCUUGGACAUCUCCAGACUCUUCUGCAUGAGUCCAGAACCCCCUGGAUGCCCCCAAACCUCUCUAGGACGUCUCCAGAUCCCUCGGCACGAUUCUAAGUGGGGAAAAGGUGGGCUGAAGGGGGGGGGAAAGGGGUUAGUGGGGCUUCUGUGGGGUGGAAAGGGAGUCUGGGGGUGGAGAGGGGGUUGUGUGGAAUCUUGGGGGGGGGAGAAUGUGUGAGUGGGGCUUCUGUGGGGUGGAGGGAGGGGAGAGCUGGGGGUCGCAGGGGGGGUUUCUAUGGGACAUAAAGGGGGUCCCGUUGGGGGAUACUGGGGGUCAAAAUGGGGGAGCGGACUCCAGAGGUCAGGGAGGAGGGCAUAGGGGGUACAGGGGACUCUAGGGGUCAGCACAUGGGGUCAGCAGGGGGGAGGGAGAAGGAAGAGGGAAGACGGGGGACCCCGGGGGGCAGACAGAGGGGAGUCAGAGGGGGGAGACGGAUGGAGGGGCCAACGUGGGGAGAGCUGUGGGGGGGGCGGGAAAGGAGACAGAAGGGAUGAGAGUGG
ensembl:lncRNA